rnacentral:sRNA from 7 species
UGUAUCGGAAGCCUGACGAGGAUGAGAACCUCCGGGGGCAAGAGGUUCGACUCGAGCGAAGCGAGAGAACGUUGCGUCAGCAACGGCCCGCAGGGCGAGCCACGCAGUGGCGAGUCAUCCUCUAUCACCGACCA